ACGAGCGCAACCCUUGUUCACUGUUGCCAGCACGUUAUGGUGGGGACUCAGUGGAGACCGCCGGGGUCAACUCGGAGGAAGGUGGGGAUGACGUCAAGUCAUCAUGCCCCUUAUGUCCAGGGCUUCACGCAUGCUACAAUGGCUGGUACAGAGAGUGGCGAGCCUGUGAGGGUGAGCGAAUCUCGGAAAGCCGGUCUCAGUUCGGAUUGGGGUCUGCAACUCGACCUCAUGAAGUCGGAGUCGCUAGUAAUCGCAGAUCAGCAACGCUGCGGUGAAUACGUUCCCGGGGCUUGUACACACCGCCCGUCAAGUCAUGAAAGUUGGUAACACCCGAAGCCGGUGGCCUAACCGUUGUGGGGGAGCCGUCGAAGGUGGGACUGGUGAUUAGGACU
rnacentral:rRNA from 1 species